GGGAGAGUCCAGAGAACAAGCAGCAGGCACAGCCCAGUGUCAUCUGGAAAUUCUUUCAUGUCCUCAGUACAAACAGUAGGUGAUUUCAGACACAUGGCAAUGGAAAAGACACCAGCAGAAACUACAGCAGCAACAGGAG
rnacentral:sRNA from 1 species